AUACGGAGGAUCCGAGCGUUAUCCGGAUUUAUUGGGUUUAAAGGGUGCGCAGGCGGCCAUUUAAGUCAGCGGUUAAAUCGUGGGGCUCAACCCCAUUCUGCCGUUGAUACUGGGUGGCUUGAUUGCGGUCGAGGUUGGCGGAAUUCGUUGUGUAGCGGGGAAAUGCAUAGAUAUGACGAAGAACACCGAUUGCGUAGGCAGCUGACCAGACCGCAAAUGACGCUCAUGCACGAAAGUGCGGGGAUCGAACAGGAUUAGAUACCCUGGUAGUCCGCACAGUAAACGAUGAAUACUUGUUUUCGGCGAUAUAAUGUCGGAGGCAAAGCGAAAGCGAUAAGUAUUCCACCUAGGGAGUACGCCGGCAACGGUGAAACUCAAAGGAAUUGACGGGG
rnacentral:rRNA from 1 species